GAAGCAAUUACUGAGCUCGUGUUAGUGCGGUGACACAAAUCCAAGUGCUCAGCUCCGGCUUCCUUUUUUUAUUAUUUCUUUUUUAAACAUUCAGCUUUGGCGCUAUGGAAGGAUUUAGUCUCAGCAGCAGCAGUUCCAGCUCACGACAGAAGACAGCACUCAGCCGCUUCGCCCUUCCCCCCCCCAAGACACCCUCACCCACAAACACACGGUCAGGACAUCUCCCUACGGCCAAUGGGACUGCCCCGCAGCCGACCCCUUGUGCAAGCCGGGCACAUCGCCUCUUACCCCAUACGGAGUUAAUUACACCCACUCAUUACAUAAUUAUCCCGUCCCUAUAAUUUAACGCCGUCCUUUGCCCACACAGCGGAGCACGGCCGCCGGCCCCGCCCGAGGAGCCCGCAGCGGGGUUACCUCAGCGGCCGCCACACUGCAGGCCCGCGGCCGCUCCCGCCCGAGGACACGCCCCUUCGCGUAGCCACGCCCCCCUCACAUAGACACGCCCCUCGCAUAGCCUCGCCCCCUCGCGUAGCCACGCCUCUCGCCGCGACCCGCCCGCACCAAGCUAGGCUGAGGCGUGCAAACAGAUGAUGUCAUGCUCUAGAGCCGCGCGUGACCGCCGGGGCCCGCCCUCUUCGCCCAUUGGUCGGCGCCGUUCGGCCGUCAGGACAGCGGCGCUCUCCAUUGGCUGGCGCCUUCGCCCCGCCACCGCCUCCUGGAAAAUAAUAAACAAUCGAAACUGGUCUGCAUCUGCUUCAUUGCUUGAAGAUCUCUGUUCACUCAUCUCCUUGUUUUUUCUGUUGCCUUUGCUGACUGGACUCCAAAGUGAAACCACUGAGGUGAGCCUGAAAAUUUGAAUUGGCCUCUUAUGUGUGAUCAUGGAGCACAUCACUUACUCUGCACAGCCUUUAUGCAGCUUUGCCAUGUUGUUUGAGGCUGGGAUUCUACCUGAAGCUCAGGGCAAAUCGCCAAGCCAAGUCUUGGAGGUUGCAACAGAAGCGGGAUCUACUGCCACAGGGCACUGCAGAGGAGCCUGCUGUUUUGUUUUGUGCCAGGAGCAGAGGGCUUUGGAGCUUACAUUUUUUUCCAGCACUUUGCAAAAACAGUCUCUUUCCAAAGUAGGACCGUGUGUUUAUUUCACUUUGUUCUCUGCAUGACAGCAAUGUGAAAGCCAUCAGCAACCUUUAUCCGCUUCUUAACUUUAUGUAAACUGUAGGAAGAAAGAAAAAAAAAAAAAAAAAAAGUGAAGUUCUUUACAGGAACAGCUCUGACCAACCCGGAGGCUGCCGGGUCACCUCGCCCAGCAACGCAACAGCAGCUGCGGAAGCCCCUCCCCGCUCUCCGGGCGGUUCCCGGUCCGCAGCCGAUGGAUGCCCCAUGUCGUGGUGCAACGCUGCCAUCUCGUGGUCCUCUUCUUCCUUGCAGGCAAACGCCCACCGAGUUCUCACGGCUUCCAGUGUCGUUGCACGUGCUCGUGCAGCUUUUUAUUAUUUAGGGAAUGCGUUUCAGUAGGAAAAGGUACCGAACCUCAAGAAAAAAUGUGUGUUUCAUGGGAACCUGCCUGCUUGGUAUCGUUGAAACACAGCAUUUAAGAGAGAGCAUUUAUAUUGCUUACAAGUUAGCAUGGGAAGAGGAGAGGAUCCCGACGCAUGGUGGAGCUAGAUGAUGGCGUAUGAAGUGUCCGGCCUCCAUAGGCGGACCCCGUAGCACAAAGGUGCUCCUACAGGGUUAGGGACUCGCUUUCUGUUCUCAUUUACUGCUUAUCCUAUUGCAGCCUGCAUUCUACAUUUUCGCCUAAGCUAUGGAGCAUUUUUGCCUAAGUUUAGUUGCCUAACAUCAUCUUAAAUACAACAGUGACCUUAUCUAUUGCUACUGAUUGUAACUGCACCAAAGCUAAUAGAGAGGUAGACCCAACACCUGACUUGUUGUCCAGCUGCUCCCUUUGGUGAAUGGGAGUGUCUCAGCUCUCCUGAAACAGUGAAACCUUCCAAAGAGCCACAGCUCUGUAUGAGCGUGAGAAAUGCUACGAAGCAAAGGUGAUGGGAAAAGGGGAGCUCCUGUCUGUUUUACAGAGCUGGGAAGCUCUGCCACAAGCUCUGGUUUUAAGCAUCUGCUUGAACUGCUAUAUGUAAGGCACGUGAGCUCAGUCAUCUUUGU
ensembl:lncRNA